CCUACGGGGAGCAGCAGUGGGGGAUAUUGGACAAUGGGGGAAACCCUGAUCCAGCGACGCCGCGUGAGUGAAGAAGUAUUUCGGUAUGUAAAGCUCUAUCAGCAGGGAAGAAAGAAAUGACGGUACAUGAGUAAGAAGCCCCGGCUAACUACGUGCCAACAACCGCGGUAAUACGUAGGGGGCAAGCGUUAUCCGGAAUUACUGGGUGUAAAGGGAGCGUAGACGGUAAUGCAAGUCUGAGGUGAAAGGCGUGGGCCGAACCCCCGGACUGCCUUGGAAACUGGUGAACUUGAGUGCAGGAGAGGGAGGCGGAAUUCCUAGUGUAGCGGUGAAAUGCGUAGAUAUUAGGAGGAACACCAGUGGCGAAGGCGGCCUGCUGGACUGAAACUGACGCUGAGGCUCGAAAGCGUGGGGAGCAAACAGGAUUAGAUACCCCAGUAGUC
rnacentral:rRNA from 1 species